rnacentral:rRNA from 1 species
GCGAGUCAUUGUAGCAUACAAGGCAGACGGCUCAGUAACGCGUAGUCAACCUACCCUAUGGACGGGAAUAACCUCGGGAAACUGAGUAUAAUGCCCGAUAGAACACUAUACCUGGAAUGGUUUGUGCUCCAAAUGAUUUAUCGCCGUAGGAUGGGACUGCGGCCUAUCAGUUUGUUGGUGAGGUAAUGGCCCACCAAGACUAUUACAGGUACGGGCUCUGAGAGGAGUGGCCCGGAGAUGGGUACUGAGACACGGACCCAGGCCCUAUGGGGCGCAGCAGGCGAGAAAACUUUGCAAUGCGCGAAAGCACGACAAGGUUAAUCCGAGUGGUUUCUGCUAAAGGAACCUUUUGACAGUCCUAGAAACACUGUUGAAUAAGGGGUGGGCAAGUUCUGGUGUCAGCCGCCGCGGUAAAACCAGCACCUCAAGUGGUCAGGAUGAUUAUUGGGCCUAAAGCAUCCGUAGCCGGCUCUGUAAGUUUUCGGUUAAAUCUGUACGCUCAACGUACAGGCUGCUGGGAACACUGCAGAGCUAGGGAGUGGGAGAGAUAGACGGUACUCGGGAGGAAGUGGUAAAAUGCUUUGAUCUCUCGAUGACCACCUGUGGCGAAGGCGGUCUAUCAGAGCACGUCCGACGGUGAGGGAUGAAAGCUGGGGGAGC